rnacentral:rRNA from 1 species
UACGUAGGGGGCUAGCGUUGUCCGGAUUUAUUGGGCGUAAAGAGCGUGUAGGCGGCCAGGUAGGUCUGCUGUGAAAACUGGAGGCUCAACCUUCAGAGGUCGACCGAAACCAUCUGGCUAGAGUCCGGGAGAGGAGAGUGGAAUUCCUGGUGUAGCGGUGAAAUGUGCAGAUAUCAGGAGGAACACCGGUGGCGAAGGCGGGUCUCUGGGCAGUAACUGACGCUGAGGAGCGAAAGCGUGGGGAGCGAACAGG